GGAGAGCUGUAACUAUGGCCAAGCAGCCUUUUAUACCACUGUGCUUGUUUCCUCUGUAUUGUCUUAGCAUUCAAAUAUUCUCCUAAGAACUGCCAAACUCACAUAAAUCGUUGCCAUCAAAUGCAGAAACCUCUUUUUGUGAAUAA